rnacentral:miRNA from 1 species
AGUGUUAUUGUGCUGCUUAA